rfam:Sus scrofa isolate TJ Tabasco breed Duroc chromosome 13, whole genome shotgun sequence.
UCCCUGGUGGUCUAGGGGUUAGGAUUUAGCACUUUCACUGCUACAGCCCUGGUUCGAUCCCUGGUCUGGGAA